rnacentral:rRNA from 1 species
UAAUACGUAGGGCGCAAGCGUUGUCCGGAUUCACUGGGUGUAAAGGGUGCGUAGGCGGGAGAGUAAGUCCGCGGUGAAAUCUCACGGCUCAACCGUGAAACUGCCGUUGAUACUGCUUUUCUUGAGUUCGGGAGAGGUUGAUGGAAUUCCAGGUGUAGCGGUGAAAUGCGUAGAUAUCUGGAAGAACACCAGUGGCGAAGGCGGUCAACUGGCCCGAAACUGACGCUGAGGCACGAAAGCGUGGGGAGCGAACAGGAUUAGAUACCCUGGUAGUCCACGCCCUAAACGAUGAAUACUUGGUGUUGGCCCGCAAGGGUCAGUGCCGUAGGAAACCUGAUAAGUAUUCCACCUGGGGAGUACGCUCGCAAGGGUG